GAUGAACGCUGGCGGCGUGCCUAAUACAUGCAAGUUGAGCGAACAGACGAGGAGCUUGCUCCUCUGACGUUAGCGGCGGACGGGUGAGUAACACGUGGAUAACCUACCUAUAAGACUGGGAUAACUUCGGGAAACCGGAGCUAAUACCGGAUAAUAUAUUGAACCGCAUGGUUCAAUAGUGAAAGACGGUUUUGCUGUCACUUAUAGAUGGAUCCGCGCCGCAUUAGCUAGUUGGUAAGGUAACGGCUUACCAAGGCAACGAUGCGUAGCCGACCUGAGAGGGUGAUCGGCCACACUGGAACUGAGACACGGUCCAGACUCCUACGGGAGGCAGCAGUAGGGAAUCUUCCGCAAUGGGCGAAAGCCUGACGGAGCAACGCCGUGUGAGUGAUGAAGGUCUUCGGAUCGUAAAACUCUGUUAUUAGGGAAGAACAAAUGUGUAAGUAACUAUGCACGUCUUGACGGUACCUAAUCAGAAAGCCACGGCUAACUACGUG
rnacentral:rRNA from 1 species